UACGUAGGGUGCGAGCGUUGCCCGGAUUUAUUGGGCGUAAAGCGCUCGCAGGUGGCCCGAUGCGUCGUGCGUGAAAGACCCCGGCUCAACUGGGGAGUGUCGUGCGAUACGGUCGGGCUGGAGGCCAGUAGGGGGAUGCGGAAUUCCGGGUGUAGUGGUGGAAUGCGUAGAGAUCCGGAGGAACACCGGUGGCGAAGGCGGCUUCCUGGACCGACACUGACGCUGAGGCGCGAAGCUAGGGGAGCAAACGGG
rnacentral:rRNA from 1 species